AUUGAACGCUGGCGGCAGGCCUAACACAUGCAAGUCGAACGGUAACAUUUCUAGCUUGCUAGAAGAUGACGAGUGGCGGACGGGUGAGUAAUGCUUGGGAACUUGCCUUUGCGAGGGGGAUAACAGUUGGAAACGACUGCUAAUACCGCAUAAUGUCUUCGGACCAAACGGGGCUUCGGCUCCGGCGCAAAGAGAGGCCCAAGUGAGAUUAGCUAGUUGGUAAGGUAAUGGCUUACCAAGGCGACGAUCUCUAGCUGGUCUGAGAGGACGAUCAGCCACACUGGGACUGAGACACGGCCCAGACUCCUACGGGAGGCAGCAGUAGAGAAUAUUGGACAAUGGGGGCAACCCUGAUCCAGGCAUGCCGCGUGUGUGAAGAAGGCCUUAGGGUUGUAAAGCACUUUAGGUAAGGAAGAAAAGUUAAUAGUUAAUACCUAUUAACCGUGACAUUACUUACAGAAUAAGGACCGGCUAACUCCGUGCCAGCCGCCGCAGUAAAAC
rnacentral:rRNA from 1 species